CACUCCGGUGGCCAAGUGGUUAGAGCAUCUACCUUCGGUGCAGGAGGUUGCAGGUUCGAGCCCUGACUGAGUCA